rnacentral:lncRNA from 1 species
AGACAGGCAAGAGCGACACACACACUGAAAGAGGGGACAAAGCCCGCCUUCCAUGUAAGUGCUUCCAAAUUACAAGGACAUUAUCUGUUUAAAAUAUAGGAAAGGCUUAGCACAUGUCUGCUGUAAAAUACAAACAAAUUGACCCUUUGCCUCUGACAGAACUGGCCCCCUAUCAAAAGUACUUAAACCUGUAAUUCUGUAAGGAGCUGCUUUGAGGGGGGAGGAAGGGGGAAGAAGUCUACGGAAAGAAAAAUCACAGCAUUCCAGAAAAAUGAAACAAAAGAGCAUUCUUGUAUGUGUGCGUGCAUGCGUGUGUUGGGGAGGGGGUGUGUUUUAUUUUGUUUGGCAUUUAUAUUCCAAACAGCUUUAAGAAACAGUGUUUUGGAAAUGAAUGCACGACGUUUGAGCUCAAACUUCAUUUUUGGACAUAAUUACUUUGCUUCUUUUUCCCUCUCCCUUGGCUGUUUGGUAUAUAUUGAUUUAAUUACUCACCUUCCCAUCUGUUUCCUUUCUGCUUUGCACCUCCACCCUGGGACCCUUUCACUGCGCCUGUCUGGAGGAGGGAUGCUAAGAAAGAGGGAUUCUUUAGGGUCACAAACAGUGAAGAAAAAGUGGAGGAAAUACCACGUGGGAGGUUGCUGGGUUGAUUUACCCCUGUCUUCAGCUGUGUGACCUCAGGAAUAAGCAGCUGACAAGUUGGAAGCAACGAUGGGGGUGGGCCUGGCGACACAGCUGCGGAGUCCCUUCCUCCCCCUGGAAGCACCUUCAGCUGCUGCAGAUCUCUUUCCAGGACGGCUGCUUUUCCUUUCCCUCUAGCCUAGAUCUGAAACUCAGUGAUGAAUUUCUGCUGCUUUCAGAAACAGUUCAAGUUUCCCUUGUGUAUUUCGCGGCAAGAAAAGAAACUCAUUCAGAUCACCUGCUCUGUUCUCCUCCUUGUAAAUGACAAUUCAAAUGCAAAAUCCCAUUUUUCUCUAAGGUCCAGAAUAGGGUAGAGAAGAUACUUUUUCUGUCCCUGCAUACAUUUCAACACCCCCCCCUUUAUUUUCUCUAAAAUAACACUUGGGAAGUUCUUUGUGCCUGUUCUCGUAGCUGAGAAUGGUGACUUGAAGAAUAAAGAUUC